UCUCCGUAGGUGAACCUGCGGAGGGAUCAUUACCAGAGAUGGCGGGCCUCCGUGCCCCCGUCCCCAACCCAUUGUUGACCAAAACCUUUUUGCCUCGGGGGCAGAGCGUCCGCCGCCGCCCCCGGGGGACCACCGAACGCUGUCUCUAUACGUCGGAGUAUUGAUUAAAUGAAUGAAAACUUUCAACAACGGAUCUCUUGGUUCUG
rnacentral:misc_RNA from 1 species